UUUCCCUGUCUCGUUGUGCAGUCCUGAAGGAGGAGUAGAAAACGCCAAGGAAAAUGGAAAAAGCGUGCCAGUAUCAUGACAUGAGAUAAGGGGAAAUAAUAUCUGCAGUGGCAGCGUUCAUGUGCUGUCAGCCACUGAUGUGCCUCUUACUCCAUUCUCAACUUCAUAAUUGGCACCGGAACAUUUAGCAGAAACCAGCUGAUUUCUUUGUUUCUUUUCAUUCCGCGCCUUCUCGAUAAGGGAAUGAAAGGAUUCCUCCCUAGAUGUGUUAUUCAGGUGUCGACGUUGAGGCUCAUUACAGAACCCAGCACAGCCUGCUGAAGAGAACAAAGCAUCAGCGUGAUGCCCCAUCUGAUCACCCACCCAGACACUUUUGUAAGCUCGGGAAUACCAUCAGCCCGAAGGAUUUCCUGCUGUGGGAGUUCCUCACCUGUGCUUGUGUAGCUGACUCCUUCUGAAUUUGCAAGCCACAAAUUGUGUCACUUCUGCACAGGGCAACACAUGAACACACCUCAAUGUGAAAUUUUCUGAAGAAUUUUUAAUGCCUGCAAGUGGCACUUGAGUGGCUAAUUCCAAUGACUCCGGCAGUCAGUUGAUGAAGCAUUCUUUGCCUUAUGAUUUGAGUAAUAGAAGUAGUUGCAUCUGUGGUUAUAUAUCAGAAAAAUAGCUUAUCCAGCUCUUUUCAGUCCCUGUGAUUCAUUGGAUGUGGCCAGAACACUCUUUAGUGCUGGUCAGUCGUUUUCAAGUCAGUGUGCAUCUGGGUUGGUCAUUAGCCAGCAGAGAAAUCAAUUGGGGCUGGUGGGGUGUGUUUGGAGGAGAGGAUUGAAAUACAAGAAUUCUAUUGAUCCAUUGUCCUGGAUAAUCAACAUCCCCACGAGCAGAUCUUAGAGCUGUGUGAGGACUCCAUGGAAGUUCUUUUCUGCUCUUGCACCUCUGUUCAACCAAGAGCAAAUCCUCCAGUCAACAAAGAUGGCAACUGAGGUUCUGAAUUCCAAACUUUGACAAAGCAACAAGCUAAUUAAUAAAGCAUAAAUUGUUAACAUUUUUCUGUGGAGCACUGCCGAGGAUCCAUUAUUUUAUUUAGUGUAUUUGUCUUAAAGUGAUUAUGUUACUAAUUAUAAGGCUCACUAGUCUGUUUAACAGGAGUCCAAAUAAUUAUAAUUUGUUUGCAUUCCCACCCUGCGUAUUUUCAUGAAAUAAGAAAAACAUUUUGUUGAAUGAUUAAUCUUGUGCAUGCCUCUCUGUAUGUUUAGGAAAAUUAAAUGUCUCAUUUUUGUUCUAAAUGAAAGAUUUCUGGUUUCGCUACUCUUGUUCUCAAGGUGCAUUGGUAAAUUCUGAAGAAACUUGAGGAUAAAGCCACAGGGGGGAUGAUGGGCUCUUAAGGAAUGUUCCCAAUAAAGUCCAUUAAAAAAUUC